rnacentral:sRNA from 1 species
UGCAUUUGAAGCCCAUGAGGAUGAGAACCUCCGGGGGCGGGGAGGUUCGACUCGAGCGAAGCGAGAGAACGUUGCGCCAGGAACGGCCCGCAGGGCGAGCCACGAAGUGGCGAGUAAUCCUCUAUCACCGACCA